CCGAGCAGCCGGAUCUCCCAGUGAGUAGGCCCGGGCCGCCAGAUCCGGUGACCCCGGUCUCCUCGCCGGUGUAUCCGGCGCCGCAG
rnacentral:miRNA from 17 species